ensembl:lncRNA
CUGCUCAUACUAAACCAGGUUAUACUGAAACCUGCUCAUACUAAACCUGGUUAUACUGAAACCUGCUCAUACUAAACCAGGUUAUACUGAAACCUGCUCAUACUGAAACCUGCUCAUACUAAACCUGCUCAUACUAAACCAUGUUAUACUGAAAUAUAUGCAAAUCAAGUCAAUGUUCUUUUCUGUUCUCCAGUGGUUCUCCGGGUUGCCUGGUGAGAGUCUGGCCUUUUUUUUUGGCGGAGACGACGCAGAUCUCAGUCCAACUCGUCUCCCCACAUGAUCCGGAAAGUUCUGAGAUACACAGCUGUAAACGAGCUUGCCAAACGGCUUGUGGUAGACCAGAUCAAUUUCCUUGUGAGAAAGUUAAAACUGGCCGCGGCGCCUGCCAAAGUUUAACAAUGACCAUCCCUGCGCCGAGACACGGGAACAGAGAGGAAACAGGAACACAGGAACACCGAGGAACACCGAGACACAGGAAC